AUCUCCCUCUUUCUCUUUCAUACUCUCUCCCUCCCUCUCUCCCUGUCAGUGUCAUUCUGUAGUGGAGAUGUGGAGUGUCUUUCUGUCUCUCUGUCUGUUUUUCCAGCCUAACUCAGCUGAGGAAGUGAUGCUGCUGGACACAACAGAGUCUACCUCAGAGCUGGGCUGGAUCACCUAUCCAGAUACGGGGUGGGAUGAGGUCAGCGUCCUGGAUGACCGAGGGAAGCUCAUACGAACCUUUGAAGUCUGCAAUGUCAACCAAAAUCCCCGUCAGCAAGACAACUGGUUGGCUACUCCUUUCCUGUACCGCCACUCGGCUCCACGGGUGUUCGUCACGUUGCGUUUUUCUGUGCGAGACUGCGCGAGCCUGCGUUCACCGUCGCCCGCCUGCAGGGAGACACUCACUCUAUACUACAAGCAGGCCGACUCCCAGAGGGAGCUGGAGAGGACUUGGGUAGCUGAGCCAUCGAGCGGGGAGAGGGAGACCAGGGAGGGCUGGGUAAAGAUUGACACCAUCGCAGCCGAUAAGAGUUUUUCCAAGGUGGAGCCCAGCUCACCUCACCAGUAUCAGCCCAACAGAUACAGCCGUAUCAACAUUAAGACACGCAGCUUUGCUCCCCUCACACGCAAAGGAUUUGUCUUGGCCAUCGUCGACAGCGGAGCUUGCGUUUCCCUCAUGGGGGUGUCUAUCUUCUACCGCCGCUGUCCAGCCACGAGCCUCUACCUAGCUUUGUAUCCACCGACUCCCUCGGGUGCCGAGCCAACUGCUUUAGUGCCUGUGACUGGGACGUGUGUCCCUCACAGUAAGGCACAAGGAGACACGCCCCCUCGCAUGCACUGCAAUGCUGAAGGAGAGUGGAUGGUGCCCGUCGGUGGAUGCGUCUGUGAUGAAGGUUAUGAGCCGAACCUCAAUGGAUCUGCCUGUCUGGCCUGUCCUGUGGGCUACUUUAAGUCUAUUUCAGGCUCUAUUCCCUGCACUGUGUGCCCAUCCAACAGCCGAACCAGCCAUGAGGGAUCGAGUGUGUGUGAAUGUCGCAGCGGCUUUUACCGGGCCGCCAGCGAUGCCAACUCUUCUGCCUGCACAACUCCUCCGUCUGCUCCUGUCUCUCUGACCUGGGAGUAUGAGAGCGGCGAUGGUGGGGUUUCCUUGAGGUGGCGCCCUCCGGUGGACAUGGGAGGCCGAAGUGAGGUGUGGUACGGGGUGGUGUGUCGCAUCUGUCCGUCACCGACCUUCACCAACUCGGCUUUGUGCUCUUGGUGUGGGGAGGGCGUCACCUUCAGCCCCUCCCAGACCAACCUGAAACAAACCAAGGUCACCCUCAACAACCUGCUGACCAGGGUCACGUAUCUCAUACAGGUGCAAGCCAUGAAUGAAGUGUCAGCUUUGAGUCCUUUCCCAGUUCGAUACUCAAGCAUCAAUUUCACUACGAGCCAGUCAGUUCCCAGUACCGUUCCUAUGAUGCACCAGCUGAGCCGGGCCCCGGACUCCAUCACUCUGUCGUGGCCUCAGCCAGACAGGCCUAAUGGAGACAUCCUGGAGUAUCAGCUCAGAUACUAUGACAAGGGUUCAGACGUGGACAGCGCAUUGACUGUGUACAGUGAGACUAACACAGUGACCGUCAAGUCUCUGAUUCCCGGCUCCAUCUACGCCUUCCAGAUCAGAGCUCGAAAUGAGCGAGGCUACGGGCCCUACAGCAACACCAUCUACUUCACGACGCUGCCUCUAGAGGAGCAUUCACAGCAAAUCCAGACCCGGCUUCCUCUGCUGGUGGGCUCAGUCAUGGGUGGGGCCGCGUUUCUCCUUGUCGUGGCAGCCAUUGUGGUUGUGGUGGUGUUUCGCAGUAAGAGGAGGGAGAGUCCAUACAGUGACCGACUCCAGAGGUACAUCAGUAACAGAGGUGGAGUUAAGUAUUACGUUGACCCAUCCACUUAUGAGGACCCUAGCGAGGCCGUCAAAGAAUUUGCCCGUGAGAUCGACCCAACUCACCUCAAGAUCGAGGAGGUGAUUGGUGCAGCCCAAUUUGGCGAGGUUUCUCGUGGUCGUUACCAUCCGCUGGGUCGCAGGGAAGUGCUGGUAGCAGUGAAGACUCUGCGCUGGGGGGCAUCAGACAGAGAGAAGGGGAUGUUCCUCAGUGAAGCAGGAGUCCUGGGACAGUUUGACCACCCCAAUGUCCUGAAACUAGAGGGUGUUAUCACCCAUACCCCUCCAGAGAGGAUCAUCACUGAGUUCAUGGAGAACGGGCCCCUGGAUGCCUUCCUCAGGGAGAACGAAGGUCAGUUCAGUGUCCUCCAGCUUGUCGGGAUGCUCAGGGGAGUUGGAGCAGGGAUGCGUUACCUCUCUGAGAGAAACUUUGUUCACCGAGACCUGGCGGCCAGGAACGUGUUGGUCAACUCCAACCUGGUCUGUAAAGUAUCUGAUUUUGGCCUCUCCAGGCUUAUGAGGGGCUUGGACCACAACAUACCAACUUACACUGCCUCACUGGGCAGUAAGAUUCCUGUGAGAUGGACGGCACCUGAAGCAUUUCAGCAUCGCAAGUUCAGCUCAGCUAGUGAUGUCUGGAGCUUUGGAAUACUGAUGUGGGAAGUUAUGUCCUAUGGAGAGCGUCCGUACUGGGACAUGAGCAAUCAAGAGGUGAUGAAGGCAGUAGCAGAUCAGUACCGUCUCCCGGCCCCCCACAACUGCCCCCCUGCCCUCCACUCUCUAAUGCUUCAGUGCUGGCAGGCUGAGCGGGCAGACCGACCAGGUUUCGACUCAGUCCUGUCUUCUCUGGAUCGACUCAUCAGGCACCCCGCGUCCCUCAAAGCUGAGCCAACUCGAAGCUGCUCCCAGCCGCUGCUCAGCCCCACUCCCACAGACUUAUCGUCAGUGGUGACAGUCAGUGAUUGGCUGAAAGCGCUGAGGAUGGAGAGGUAUCAGGAUGAGUUUGAUCGAGCGCACCUGGACACAUUAGACAGCGUCAGCAAGCUUACGAUGGAGUGAGUAUGCAUGGAUAGUUACAAACGUAAAAAUACAGAAAAAUAUAUCAAACAUUUUUAAAGCUGGCUUCUUGACUUAAGAUUUAAUUAGAUCAGUCAUUAAUUUCAUUUUAGCUAUGUCAUGAGUAUUAUCAAGCACACCAGCCACCUGGUAUCCACUGAAUCCUCAAGUCGAGUUGUCGCAUAGUGGUAAAGAGCCCAGUGGGCCGACGCACUUUUAGACUGUGCCAGAAGCACUGGCAGCCUUUUUGUUCAUUUUCAUUACUGUAUUGCCCUAUCAAAUCUCUUUAUGCAACUGGACCCUCCCCAAUCUUUGCUGUGUUCUUACACACCUUAUUGAACAGAGUUUAGUGUGAAAGAAGAGCUGAAAAGGUGGCGCUGAAAGCUAAGAGAGACGAAGAAAGAGAAGCUAGAAAUAGAUACAGGAAAUGUCAAAUUGAGCAACAUGUUAGCUGUCAGGGCAAUUGCUGCUGCGCCGUCAACAGUAGUAAUGUACCAGCAACAAGCAGUAAUGAGCCUUCAUAGACACAGGAGGCAGCUGUAGCACUAGCUGUGGAGACGCUGUGCAGGCGGAGGGACACCAGUCCCAAAAACAGAGUGAGAGACAGACAGAGGGAAAUGAAAUUAGAAUAAUAAGAAAAUAGAAGAAGGGAGAGAGAGAGAGAGACGCGAUAGACCGACUGCAACAAAAGUGCCAAGGCCGAUUUUUUUUUGUGCAUUUCAGUGCACAAAAACAUUUCAGUGCAGCCCUGCAUACUGGUGCUUGGUCAGGACCUGUAGGUGUCUCAUUGCAACUCACUGAGCACUCCUUUAGUGUUAUGAAACAGACACCAUAAGAUAAAGGUGCUCUGAUGGUGCAACUGAUGAGGGACACAUAGCCGAGAGGAUUUUGCAGUUUUUGUAGGUAUCUGAUAACCAAAACAAGUCACCAUAAGAUAAGGAAAGGAGAAACUUCUGCAACCUGCAGAUUUAAUUCUUUAAACAAUCUUAGAAUAGAAUAGGGACAGAAUGGUGGGCCAGUAGUUAGCACGAGGGUCCAAGAAGGUCCAAGAGGAACGAAUGCAUGAAGAACCCAUGCUUGAGCUCCGAUUUCAACCAUCAUCAUAAAACUUUGUAGAUUACACCUGUGUGCUUCGCACAGGUUUUUUGUUGAUCUCAAAAGUUUUUCUUCCAUCCAUCCAUCCAUCCAUCCAUCUUCAUCCGCUUUAUCCGAGGCCGGGUCGCAGGGGCAGCAGCCUAAGCAAAAAGGAUGGAUGGAUGGACUUUGGCAACAGUAGGAUGGGAAAAUCGAUGCUGAAUCAUCCUGAGACGUCCAGGAUCUCGGCGUGAACCUGCUGGGACACCAGAGGAAGAUCGUCAGUGCAGCCCAGCAGCUCAGGGCUCACCUGACACAGGGGCAGGUGGAGGUCUGAAACCUACCAGCAAUAAACCCUGUGCUGUGGAUUUAUGGGCUUCACAUUCCUUUGCUUGUUGCGUCCAGUUUCGGCAACAUUUUAUUUGGAUGGUGCACAUUUUAACCGUAACAAAAAAGAGAGCGAGAUAAUCAGCUAACAGUGCCACUCUGUCUAUUCUGAUAUACCUGACACUGCAACCAGAAGCAGUGAGAAAAGACUUUCUCAGCCAGUCAUUCGAGACGACUAACAGAAGAGAGAUACACUACAGGAGCUGCGGCCCAACUCAAAGUGAGGCUAGAAAGUUGCUGACAAGGAGGACUUUAAAGAUUCCUCUAUGUUUUUCCACUAGAUUUCACUUUAUUGUUGUCUGCCUUCUCGUCUCCUCCCCCCUCUGCAGUCCAAUCUCUCCCUUCCUCCUCCUCUACUCACCUUGCCUGAAAUGCUUCUGUUUCCUCUGUGCUCAAUAAAACCGCAAAAGUAUUUUUUGUUAAAGUAUCCAGGGAGAUCUCUCCUCACAAAGAAUUGCGUGAAGACAAUCAAAGCCUUUUUCUAUUUUUUUUUUGAGUUAUUUGUAAAGUUGUAUCACUUCCUCUCCACUUUAAAUGCCAAAUGCUAAACAAACAGUGUUACCUAGCAGCUAAUGAAUCACCUAAUGAGGUGUUACCGUUAGCUGUCAGAAAAAUGUAUAGGUUGUUCAGUGUUACAGCAAAUACUAUGAACCACCAGUCCAAAGUCGGUACUGCAGAUCCUUAAAGUUAUAUAGCAAUCACUGCCAUAAUAUUGGGAAAAUCAAACCUAAACACGAAAGGCUUUUAAUAAAUGUAAGCCAUGUUUUGUUUUGUUUUUUUUAAUCCGCCUUUAGAAGACAUAUCCAAGGUCUGAGAGCUGCCCUGUUUGUGCAACUCACUGUAGAGCCUCUCAGUGACAGCAGAGCUCACUUACUCUAAAACACUUAACAAACUUCACCUCAGCUGCAAACACGAGCUUCUGCCUGCGCUGGACACAGAAGCUAACAGCACCCACCUUUACAGUAUGUCUGCAUUUCACACUUCACCUCUUUUGUUUGAUUGCUAGAGUAACGACACUGAGUCAUUGGAGCAUUGUGAAUGUGUGAAAUGAGCAAGAUGGACAAAAUCUGAUCUGAUUUACACUUGAAGGAAGGAAGCAAAAUGCUUUGUAGGUAGCUGCCCGUAUGUCUGUGUGCUGUAUAUGAAACUCUGUUAUUGCGUACAUGCUGUACAUGAUGUGUGUGAGUGAGUGUGUCUGUGUGUGCAUGUGUGUGUGUGCGCGCGCGUGUGAGACAAGUGUGUCAGGCUACACACAUUUAUAGGUGUUUACUUGUAUGAAUGUUCACCACUGUUCCGUAAUUGUGCAAAUUUGUAAAAUAAAUAUGAUUUUAUUUAAA